UCCGAUGGAUCCAAAGGAUCCGAUGGAUCCGAUGGAUCCGAUGGAUCCAAAGGAUCCGAUGGAUCCAAAGGAUCCGAUGGAUCUAAAGGAUCCAAAGGAUCCGAUGGAUCUAAAGGAUCCGAUGGAUCUAAAGGAUCCGAUGGAUCCAAAGGAUCCGAUGGAUCCGAUGGAUCCAAAGGAUCCGAUGGAUCCGAUGGA
rnacentral:sRNA from 1 species